rnacentral:rRNA from 1 species
GUGUCAGCCGCCGCGGUAAUACGGAGGGGGCUAGCGUUGUUCGGAAUGACUGGGCGUAAAGCGCGCGUAGGCGGAUCGUCAAGUCGGGGGUGAAAUCCCGGGGCUCAACCCCGGAAUGGCCUUCGAGACUGGCGGUCUUGAGUUCGAGAGAGGUGGGUGGAAUUCCGAGUGUAGAGGUGAAAUUCGUAGAUAUUCGGAGGAACACCAGUGGCGAAGGCGGCCCACUGGCUCGACACUGACGCUGAGGCGCGAAAGCGUGGGGAGCAAACAGGAUUAGAUACCCCUGUAGUCC